rnacentral:misc_RNA from 1 species
GAUGAAGAACGUAGCGAAAUGCGAUACUUGGUGUGAAUUGCAGAAUCCCGUGAACCAUCGAGUCUUUGAACGCAAGUUGCGCCCGAAGCCACUAGGCCGAGGGCACGCCUGCCUGGGCGUCACACGUCGUUGCCCCCCCCCCAUCUACUCCUUCAGGAUUGCGGGGGGCGGAUGAUGGCCUCCCGUGCGCCUAGCCGCGCGGUUGGCAUAAAUACCAAGUCCUCGGCGACGCACGCCACGACAAUCGGUGGUUGCGAAACCUCGGUUGCCCGUCGUGUGCGUUCGUCGCGCAUCGAGGGCUCGAAAAAAUGCUCGGCUCCGGCUCGGCUUUCAACGCGACCCCAGGUCAGGCGGGGUUACCCGCUGAAUUUAAGCAUAUCAAUAAGCGGAGGA